ensembl:lncRNA
GCAUCGGCGGCGGCGGCGGAGACGGAGAGAGGCAGGCAGGCAGGGCGAGGGCGAGAGACGGAGGGAGGGAGCGAGCGAGGCGGACCAGACAGACAGACAGGCGGGCGGGCGGGCGGGCAGAGCGAGCCACCCGCCAGGCUGCGCUCAGCCCCGCUGGCAGCGGAGAGAGCAGAAGGCAGGAGGAGGGAGGGGAGGAGGGGGAGGGAGGGAGAGAGGGAAUCCAGCUACCACCACCCAAAGCCAGCGUCUGCUUUCUGUCCUCAUUUCCUUUUCCCACCCAGCUUGGAGAGCAGAGAAAGGCAGAGAGAGCGAGAAAUAGAGACAGUCUGAGAGACAGACAGACAGCCAGAGAGAGCGGGAGGGAGGAGGGCGGAGGAGGAGGAGCAGGAGGACUACGCGGGGCGCGUUCCCUCCCAGGUUUGCAAUUGGGGGGUGGGGGCGGGGGUGUCCAGGGCUGGGAGAGUGUGUGCGCGGCGGGAGGGCGAGGGGAGCGCAGAGAGCGAAGGAGUGAUCGAGGUGGGGGGGCGCCGCGGGAGCGGGGGGCCGUGUCCAGCGGAGUUAGCGGCGGAGAAUGUGAGCCGAGGCGCGAGCCAUGCUGUCAGCGACGGCGGGCGGCUCAGGGCUCUUCCACGACUCCUCUCCUCAGCAGCCGGGCGCCCGCGUCGCUGCCACCGCCGGAAGACAGACGCCCCCUAAAACCCCUCGCCUGGCUCGGACCCACGGAGCCGGCAGCCCAGCACUCCGAUGGGAGCUUGCCUGAUUGUCAAGCCAUCGGCCUGGACCCCAGAGCCUACCCAGCUGAGCAUGUGCAGAGGGCCCCGAGUGCGGGGCGACGCUCAGGCCAUUACAGAGACCACCCUGGAGAUGCUGAUGAAGACAGGCCUUUCCUGCUGAGCCGGGCCUGUCUGCACAGCCUGCUCAGGCGCUGUCCACGCCCCGAGGCCUGGGCUCAGGCCGAAGUUGCUCCACAGCACCCCCAGCUGACAGCCAGCGACUGGCAGAGCCCCCAGGCACGGGGGCCCUCUCUCUUCCAGAGAUCUCCAGUGUGACAGCCCAGGCGGCAGAGCCGAGGGUAAGUGGUGGGGGUUCUCCUGGAGCCCUUUGGGGGUAAG